rnacentral:misc_RNA from 1 species
GCAAACUUGGUCAUUUAGAGGAAGUAAAAGUCGUAACAAGGUUUCCGUAGGUGAACCUGCGGAAGGAUCAUUAGUGAAUAAAUAGGGUGUCCAAUUUAACUUGGAACCCGACCUUCUCACAUCUAACCCUGUGCAUCUGUAUUAAUGGCGAGCAAUUUUCGGAUUGUGAGCCAUUUCACUUUAUAAACACUAGUCUAUGAAUGUAAAAUUUUUAUAACAAAUAAAAACUUUCAACAACGGAUCUCUUGGCUCUCGCAUCGAUGAAGAACGCAGC